CCCACACCCAUGUGUGUAGGACCCCAAAUGAUCACCAUUAAAUUUGGCACAGAUCUCUAGAAAAAUUAUGAUAUGGGUGUGUGACUUGAUUUUUCCAGAGAUCUGUGACAAAUUUAAUGGUGAUCAUUUGAGGUCUUGCACACAUGGGUGUGAG
rnacentral:pre_miRNA from 1 species